UACGGAGGGUGCGAGCGUUGUCCGGAAUCACUGGGCGUAAAGGGCGCGUAGGCGGCGCGGAUAGUCAACGGUGAAAGCUUGGGGCUCAACCCCGAGUCGGCCGUCGAUACUUCCGCGCUUGAGCACUGUAGAGGCAGGUGGAAUUCCGGGUGUAGCGGUGGAAUGCGUAGAGAUCCGGAAGAACACCGGUGGCGAAGGCGGCCUGCUGGGCAGUAGCUGACGCUGAGGCGCGACAGCGUGGGGAGCAAACAGG
rnacentral:rRNA from 1 species